GCGAAGACCUGAACACAGAGAGUCCAUCCCUGGUCCCACACCUGACUCAUACAGGUGAAGAUUAAUACUCACUGAGUGGUGCUAAUACGACUCUUUAAAGACACCCCACUGCAGAGCAAUGCAUCAUGGUCUACAUGUUAGCUAAAGCUGUCAGACGAAAGGAGAGAAGUAAAAGAGCAUUUGGACCGCUGAGAUUUAUAAGAACAGUCAAAUAAAGAAGCACAUUAUCUAAAUAUUGUAGUGGAGGAGGAUUAAAGAACUCAAGCUGUGUGUUGGUUUGUUUCCUGCUGAGUGUUUGAAAGUGUUGAAGGGAUUAAAUCCUGCAGCAGGUCCAUGAUGUGUGGAUUAAAGUGUGAGAGUUUUAAUGCAGAACGUUAAUGAACACUGUGUCAUAAUCAUAUCACACAGUGUUCACACGUCAACCUCUGAUAUGAAGAAUCUACAAGUCUGAGGGAUGUCUCUAUAAUAAUAAUAAUAAAUAAUAACUUUCUUUAUACUUUCA